CUCCCCAGACAAGGAAUUCUCAUCUGCAGGGCUUUGCCACUCAGGACAGUGAUGUGAGCUUGGAGCCACAAGGCUGUAAAUCCACAUGGUGUGUGCCUUCAUCCUUUCCUGCCUCCUGGAAUUCCAUGAAUGCAGGCUAAUAUUACAUUAACUUCCUUUCAUCCACAGCACAUGCAUGCUUAAAAUUGAACUUGUUAACUAAGAUCCCUAUGGAAUCCCGUGUGGUUAGAUUUCAUAUCUGUACUCAGGCGGUUAGAACUUUCUAUUUCAGGGUAGAAAUCCAUGGGUCUCCUUACAGAGAGGCAGUCUACCCGUUUUAAAUCCUCAUAAUACAGUGUCUGCUACUAUCUGACACAUCAGAUGUGUUCAACAAGUGUUUGUUGAAUGGAGCCAUCAGUGAGUUCAUUUUAUUCCCCAGUUAAUUUUCUUCUGUGAGUUUGCCCCAUCCAUCUACCUUUAACUUGCCUUUUUUGUUUUUCCUUAAAAAAACUAGAUUUGGGAAAGAAUUUUUGAUUUACAGAAAAGUUGCAAAGACAGGACAGAAAGUUCCCCUAUGUGUCUGAGCCAGGUUUCCCUGCUGUUACUAUCUUACUUGACCCAAGGUUCAUUCGUCAAACUAAGUAUCUGACAUUGGUGAAUUAGUAUUAACUGCACUCCUGACUUUGUUUGGGCUUUACGAGUUUUUCCAUUAAUGUUCUUUCUGUUGUAGGAUCCAUUCCAGGAUUCCCCAUUGCAUUUAGUAGUCACGUCUCUCUGGCGUCCUCUGGUCUGUGGCAGUUUCUCAGUCUUUCCUUGUCUUUCACGACUUUGACAAUGGUGGGGGGUAGGGGUGCAGUGCUGAUCAUGUAUCUUGCAGAAUUUCCAAAAUCUGUGUGUACGUGGUGUUUUUCUCAUGAUUGGACUGGAUUGGGGGGUUUGAAACAUCCUUUAGGAGAUAUGCAAUCCAUUUCGCCUUUCCUGGCUUUGUGUUUUUGCAGCUAACGAUUGAGCCUUUCUCUGGGUCAUUAUCUAAGUUAGCAAUGAAGCUAGAAGGGCCUGGGGAAGCACAGAUGACACCACCAGCUCAAACCUAUUUUACAAAUGAGUUGGGUUUGAUAUAGUUUUUUUUCUUAGCAGUGUUUAAUUAUCACAGUUUUUUUUCUUUUAAUAGUUCAUUCUGAAGUUGUUGGUUUUUUUCUGGACUAGGCAUCAAAUAUACCUGCUUGGACCAAGCUCUCCUACCAUUGAAAAUGUGUAGUGAGGUUGUAUACAUGAGAUUGUAUGUGUAACGAUAUGCACAUAUGGUUGGGUUCACACACACAUGCACACACAUUAACUCAUGUUAAGUCACAUAUUUGAGUUACUGAAUCACUACAUGAUGAAAAUUCUGUCAAUGUCAUUUAUCUAGAUUUCAGCCAGCAGCUUAACAAGGUCCUUAACACCAUCCUACAGACAAAACAGAGUAACACGGACUGAUCGUAAAAUUAGAUGACUUUGUUUCUGGUUGAAUGACAGUACCCAGAGUGUCACCCAAGACUACCUGGAAGGGAAGUGGACAGCAGAGGUAAUCAAAGGAGAGAGGAUUGAAACAUGGGGACAUAAUUUUGCACUAUCAUGAGGUACAAAUAUUUAACACUAUUAAAACAGCGCUGAAGAGAAUGGGGAAAAAAGAGGCACAGUUAUAUGCUGUUGGGCUAACUUCUGCAGGAAGCAACUCAGCAAUACACAUGUGAAGCUUAAAAACAUGCAGAACUUCUGAAUCCGUAUUUCUACACUCAGGAAUCUGUUCUUCCCCGGUAAUAAUGCAAAACACAAACAAAAUAAAUGUAUACCAUAUUCAUCAAACCAGCAUUUAUCAUUGAAAGAAAUAAGAAAAAAAGCAAUACCUAACAAUAAAAAAGUAGAGAAAAAUGACUAUUGACUGUGUAAUGGAAUAUGAUGCAACCAUUAAACGAUGGCGGUCAUUAGGUUAUGCAGAGCGAGGUCAAGUGGCCAAGUGGCAUGAGCAUCACCACUCCUGCAGCAGCCUGGGCAGCUUCCACUGGGCAGAACAGACCCAGGAUGACAGGCCCGUAGUAUAGGACUCCAUUGUCCAUCACACCCCACCCCGCUAGGUAGCAGCAGUCCAGCCAGUGCAGAUGUUUGUUGCCUGGAGAGAGUCUGAUGCCUGAACUGCAACCUUCAAACUGCGAGACUGGGGAGUGUCACUGGGGUGUCUUCAGGACCUUGGAUAACUCCAGUGAGGCCGUAAGAUUAGAGAUGGCACCAGGAGACAGUGGGAGAUGGUUGUCCACCUGCAAUUGAAAUAAGGACA
rnacentral:lncRNA from 1 species